CAUCCUUUGCUUUCUUGAGGGACAUUAGGCCGUACAAAACCGCUUGGCGUGGCAAAUGAAGGGGCUUCACUCGUGGUGCCAAUAUAUCAACUCAACUGGUGAAACACUAGAGUUAGUCUUGGCCGAUGAGCAGGUAAUGAUUUAUUAAAAUCUGUUUUUGUUAUAAAUUAUUUUCGUUUUUGAUUUUGCGAUAAAGUCUUC
rnacentral:lncRNA from 1 species